rnacentral:tRNA from 1 species
GCACGGGUGGUGGAACGGUAGACACCCCUGGUCGAGAGCCAGGCGCCCGCGUGGCGUGAGGGUUCGACUCCCUCUCCGUGCA